rnacentral:rRNA from 1 species
CCUACGGGUGGCAGCAGUGAGGAAUAUUGGUCAAUGGACGAGAGUCUGAACCAACCAAGUAGCGUGAAGGAUGACUGCCCUAUGGGUUGUAAACUUCUUUUAUAUGGGAAUAAAACGUUCCACGUGUGGGAGUUUGUAUGUACCAUAUGAAUAAGGAUCGGCUAACUCCGUGCCAGCAGCCGAGGUAAUACGGAGGAUCCGAGCGUUAUCAGGAUUUAUUGGGUUUAAAGGGAGCGUAGGUGGAUUGUUAAGUCAGUUGUGAUAGUUGGCGGCUCAACCGUAAAAUUGCAGUUGAAACUGGCAGUCUUGAGUACAGUAGAGGUGGGCGGAAUUCGUGGUGUAGCAGUGAAAUGCUUAGAUAUCACGAAGAACUCCGAUUGCGAAGGCAGUUCACUGGACUGCAACUGACACUGAGGCUCGAAAGUGUGGGUAUCAAACAGGAUUAGAUACCCGGGUAGUC